UAAAUAAUUCGUGAGGCUGGUGUCACAUUGUAAAAAAGGGCCACUACUCAUUGAAAGCGCUUUGAGUCGGAUCGCCGAGUUGGGACGGGAGAUUUUCCGCUACACUUUCCCGUUCUUCGUACAACUGCACAAUCGAUCCAUAGAGCAAUCAUGGAGACGAAUAGUCAAUCCCCGGAGUUUGAUUUGCCUGUUCAAGUUGCUGAUGAUCGGAGACUCCGGCGUCGGGAAGAGCACUCUUCUCCUAAGCUUCACGUCUGAAAGCUUCGAGGAUCUAUCCCCCACCAUUGGUGUUGAUUUUAAGGUGAAAUAUGUCAAUAUGG